rnacentral:lncRNA from 1 species
AUAUUUCUCAAUUGUAUUGUAACAAACUAACAAUGGCAACCAAUUCUUUGAAGUUUACUUUGUUGACUAUUUUCAUUUUGCCAUGGCUGUUUCUCCAACUUUACCAUGUCAUGCUGCACGCCUUCCAUUAGCAGGUAAUUAAGCACACUAUGCCACCUUUUUUUUUUUUGUUUUGUUGGUAUUAACUCUCUAGUUCUCCGGGGAAAGAGACCUCGGUAAUCUAGAGUUCAGUCACGAGGUAAGUAAAGUCUGAUUAAAAAUUGUUUCUACCAUGAAUCGAACUUAGGUUCUCCCACACUAUGUCUCGUUUUAAUUACAUAUAACAUAAACUAUUCAAAUAGAGAAUUCAAUUAAUUGAUCAUGCCUUAUCAUAUACUAUAUGGUUUUGCAUAUAUGAUGAUUAAUGGUUUUCAUGAAGUUUAUUUUUUGAUAUGCAGUUAGUAGGCCCAUAUGUAUUGCAUGUGUAUGUUGUACUCCACCACCUACAGGCUCUUGCUGCAACAAGUGUUGUGCUUCUCCAAUUCAAACUCAGAAUAUUGAUCAAUCUCAUCCAUAGUAUGGAAAGCUAGCACAUGCCUUAUUGUAUAAAGUUCUUAAUCAUAUCUAUUAUAUAUGAUUCUUAUUUUCAAAUAAUUCGGGAGUACUCUUUUAAGUCUCUCAUGUAAUUUCAUAUAUGUG